rnacentral:rRNA from 1 species
AGGGAAUCUUCCGCAAUGGGCGAAAGCCUGACGGAGCAACGCCGCGUGAGUGAUGAAGGUUUUCGGAUCGUAAAGCUCCGUUGCCAGGGAAGAACGUCGGGUAGAGUAACUGCUAUCCGAGUGACGGUACCUGAGAAGAAAGCCCCGGCUAACUACGUGCCAGCAGCCGCGGUAAUACGUAGGGGGCAAGCGUUGUCCGGAAUUAUUGGGCGUAAAGCGCGCGCAGGCGGCCAUUUAAGUCUGGUGUUUAAUCCCGGGGCUCAACCCCGGGUCGCAUCGGAAACUGGGUGGCUGGAGUGCAGAAGAGGAAAGUGGAAUUCCACGUGUAGCGGUGAAAUGCGUAGAGAUGUGGAGGAACACCAGUGGCGAAGGCGACUUUCUGGACUGUAACUGACGCUGAGGCAUGAAAGCGUGGGGAGCAAAC